ACUAAGCGUACACGGUGGAUGCCCUGGCAGUCAGAGGCGAUGAAGGACGUGCUAAUCUGCGAAAAGCGUCGGUAAGGUGAUAUGAACCGUUAUAACCGGCGAUGUCCGAAUGGGGAAACCCAGUGCAAUUCGUUGCACUAUCGUUAACUGAAUACAUAGGUUAACGAGGCGAACCGGGGGAACUGAAACAUCUAAGUACCCCGAGGAAAAGAAAUCAACCGAGAUUCCCCCAGUAGCGGCGAGCGAACGGGGAGCAGCCCAGAGUCUGAAUCAGCUUGUGUGUUAGUGGAACGGUCUGGAAAGUCCGACGGUACAGGGUGAUAGUCCCGUACACCAAAAUGCACAGGCUGUGAACUCGAAGAGUAGGGCGGGACACGUGGUAUCCUGUCUGAAUAUGGGGGGACCAUCCUCCAAGGCUAAAUACUCCUGACUGACCGAUAGUGAACCAGUACCGUGAGGGAAAGGCGAAAAGAACCCCGGCGAGGGGAGUGAAAAAGAACCUGAAACCGUGUACGUACAAGCAGUGGGAGCACCUUUAUGGUGUGACUGCGUACCUUUUGUAUAAUGGGUCAGCGACUUAUAUUCUGUAGCAAGGUUAACCGUAUAGGGGAGCCGCAGGGAAACCGAGUCUUAACUGGGCGUUAAGUUGCAGGGUAUAGACCCGAAACCCGGUGAUCUAGCCAUGGGCAGGUUGAAGGUUGGGUAACACUAACUGGAGGACCGAACCGACUAAUGUUGAAAAAUUAGCGGAUGACUUGUGGCUGGGGGUGAAAGGCCAAUCAAACCGGGAGAUAGCUGGUUCUCCCCGAAAGCUAUUUAGGUAGCGCCUCGUGAACUCAUCUUCGGGGGUAGAGCACUGUUUCGGCUAGGGGGUCAUCCCGACUUACCAACCCGAUGCAAACUACGAAUACCGAAGAAUGUUAUCACGGGAGACACACGGCGGGUGCUAACGUCCGUCGUGAAGAGGGAAACAACCCAGACCGCCAGCUAAGGUCCCAAAGUCAUGGUUAAGUGGGAAACGAUGUGGGAAGGCACAGACAGCCAGGAUGUUGGCUUAGAAGCAGCCAUCAUUUAAAGAAAGCGUAAUAGCUCACUGGUCGAGUCGGCCUGCGCGGAAGAUGUAACGGGGCUAAACCAUGCACCGAAGCUGCGGCAGCGACACUAUGUGUUGUUGGGUAGGGGAGCGUUCUGUAAGCCUGCGAAGGUGGCCUGUGAGGGUUGCUGGAGGUAUCAGAAGUGCGAAUGCUGACAUAAGUAACGAUAAAGCGGGUGAAAAGCCCGCUCGCCGGAAGACCAAGGGUUCCUGUCCAACGUUAAUCGGGGCAGGGUGAGUCGACCCCUAAGGCGAGGCCGAAAGGCGUAGUCGAUGGGAAACAGGUUAAUAUUCCUGUACUUGGUGUUACUGCGAAGGGGGGACGGAGAAGGCUAUGUUAGCCGGGCGACGGUUGUCCCGGUUUAAGCAUGUAGGCUGGUUAUCCAGGCAAAUCCGGAUAAUCAAGGCUGAGGUGUGAUGACGAGGCACUACGGUGCUGAAGUAACAAAUGCCCUGCUUCCAGGAAAAGCCUCUAAGCAUCAGGUAACAUCAAAUCGUACCCCAAACCGACACAGGUGGUCAGGUAGAGAAUACCAAGGCGCUUGAGAGAACUCGGGUGAAGGAACUAGGCAAAAUGGUGCCGUAACUUCGGGAGAAGGCACGCUGGUGUGUAGGUGAAGUCCCUGCGGAUGGAGCUGAGACCAGUCGAAGAUACCAGCUGGCUGCAACUGUUUAUUAAAAACACAGCACUGUGCAAACACGAAAGUGGACGUAUACGGUGUGACGCCUGCCCGGUGCCGGAAGGUUAAUUGAUGGGGUUAUCCGUAAGGAGAAGCUCUUGAUCGAAGCCCCGGUAAACGGCGGCCGUAACUAUAACGGUCCUAAGGUAGCGAAAUUCCUUGUCGGGUAAGUUCCGACCUGCACGAAUGGCGUAAUGAUGGCCAGGCUGUCUCCACCCGAGACUCAGUGAAAUUGAACUCGCUGUGAAGAUGCAGUGUACCCGCGGCAAGACGGAAAGACCCCGUGAACCUUUACUAUAGCUUGACACUGAACAUUGAGCCUUGAUGUGUAGGAUAGGUGGGAGGCUUUGAAGCGUGGACGCCAGUCUGCGUGGAGCCAACCUUGAAAUACCACCCUUUAAUGUUUGAUGUUCUAACGUUGGCCCCUUAUCGGGGUUGCGGACAGUGUCUGGUGGGUAGUUUGACUGGGGCGGUCUCCUCCCAAAGCGUAACGGAGGAGCACGAAGGUUAGCUAAUCCUGGUCGGACAUCAGGAGGUUAGUGCAAUGGCAUAAGCUAGCUUGACUGCGAGCGUGACGGCGCGAGCAGGUGCGAAAGCAGGUCAUAGUGAUCCGGUGGUUCUGAAUGGAAGGGCCAUCGCUCAACGGAUAAAAGGUACUCCGGGGAUAACAGGCUGAUACCGCCCAAGAGUUCAUAUCGACGGCGGUGUUUGGCACCUCGAUGUCGGCUCAUCACAUCCUGGGGCUGAAGUAGGUCCCAAGGGUAUGGCUGUUCGCCAUUUAAAGUGGUACGCGAGCUGGGUUUAGAACGUCGUGAGACAGUUCGGUCCCUAUCUGCCGUGGGCGCUGGAGAAUUGAGGGGGGCUGCUCCUAGUACGAGAGGACCGGAGUGGACGCAUCACUGGUGUUCGGGUUGUCAUGCCAAUGGCACUGCCCGGUAGCUAAAUGCGGAAGAGAUAAGUGCUGAAAGCAUCUAAGCACGAAACUUGCCCCGAGAUGAGUUCUCCCUGAGACUUUAAGUCUCCUGAAGGAACGUUGAAGACGACGACGUUGAUAGGCCGGGUGUGUAAGCGCAGCGAUGCGUUGAGCUAACCGGUACUAAUGAACCGUGAGGCUUAACC
rnacentral:rRNA from 1 species